rnacentral:rRNA from 1 species
AUGUACUCCAAGGAUAAUCACCUCCUCGUGUGCGUUUACUCCUCCCAGACUGACACAUGGGGCAAUCACAUCUCAACGGCCGCGCCAUGUAAGAUCUAUGAUGCUUCUUAUUCUGGGUCACUUAUUGGUAAUACACUUUAUUGGUUGUGCACGGGAGAUCGCAUCCUCGAGUUUGAUAUGGACGGGCAGAGUCUACCUAUGAUCGAGGGCACCGUUGUAGCAAAUGAUUUGAACAAUGCCAGUCGUAAGAUAAUGCAGGCCGAUAAUGGUGAUGUUGGAUUAGCAAUAUUGUCUUACCCAUACUUCCAAAUGUGGCAGAGGGACCUCAAUUAUCAUGGUGUUAUGAGAUGGGUGCUGCAGAAAACAAUUGACAUCAGCAUAAUUCUUGGACUCCCUCCCCUGAUUGAAGCAAGGCUGGAAGAGUGGAAAACUAUCGAAGGAUAUACCGAGGAUGCAAUUUUUUUAUGUGUGGGCGGCAGCCUAUACAUGGUUCAACUUGAUUCGAUGAAAUCCAAGAGACUUCAAGAAAGCGACAAUUUCUUUUGCUGCCGUCCUUUCACGAGUUUCUAUGCACCAGGUGAUUGCUCGUUCAGUCAUGUUUCGUACAUGGUUGCUGAAAUGUCUUUGUUCUUCUUCUUAUGUCACGACAAUAAAAGCUUAGUAACAAGUGUCCCUCAGCACAAUUGUCAAAUGAGUGAAAAUAUAAAAUCAAAUGUUAAUGAGUAA